rnacentral:rRNA from 1 species
UACAGAGGGUGCAAGCGUUAAUCGGAUUUACUGGGCGUAAAGCGUGCGUAGGCGGUUCAUUAAGUCGGUUGUGAAAUCCCUGGGCUUAACCUGGGAACUGCAGUCGAUACUGGUGAACUAGAAUGCGGUAGAGGGUGGCGGAACUCCGGGUGUAGCGGUGAAAUGCGUAGAUAUCCGGAAGGACACCGAUGGCGAAGGCAACCACCUGGGCCUGCAUUGACGCUGAGGUACGAAAGCGUGGGGAGCAAACAGG